rnacentral:lncRNA from 1 species
CUGGAAUGGGAGUGGACAGGUUUAUCGUAUGUGAUUCCAUCCAAAUGCCACCUGUAAAUAUAACCUCUCUCUAAAGAAACUAAAUGGAUUAUUAGAUUAUGUAUUGCAGUAAGAAUCCACCUUGAUCUGUAGUUUGGAGAAUGAUGUGGAUGGAAUUCUACAGCUUCACUAUCUUUCCUUUGACACCUUGAAGAACUCUUUAGAAAGCAGAAGGAGGAAUCAGAAUAGAAUGGGAUCCUUUUUCAGAAAGCUUGAAGUACAGGAAAUCAUGAUGCAGAAGAUGGCUGUCUCACUGACAACAUGCCAUCUCAGAAACAGGUCCCCUAUUGAUACAGAUGAUAUGUGUGGUUUCCAUAGGCCCCAACACAACAACUCAGCUCUUCCUGGGAAUGCAGUCCAACAGGUCUGAUUCAUGUCAUCAGGCCCAUCAACACAGACUCCCUUGCAGAAUCAAAGGGCUUCAGCAUCAACUCAUAUAUCCCCCAAAUGCCAAUUUCAAGAUUUUUUUUUAGGGAAAUGUUUGCACCAAAUUUAAUUUCAAAACAAC